rnacentral:rRNA from 1 species
GACAGAGGUGCCGAGCGUUAGGCGGAAUCACUGGGCUUAAAGCGUGUGUAGGCGGAUCGUUAAGUGCCUUGUGAAAUCCCACGGCUCAACCGUGGAACUGCUGGGCAUACUGCCGAUCUUGAGCCACUUAGGGGCAACCGGAACAAACGGUGGAGCGGUGAAAUGCGUAGAGAUCGGGAAGAACAUCGGUGGCGAAAGCGCUCUACUGGACGGUAUCUGACACUGAGGGACGAAAGCUAGGGGAGCGAAUGGG